rnacentral:tRNA from 1 species
GGUCCCAUCGUAUAGUGGUUAGUAUCGGAGAUUCUCAAUCUUCAGACAGGAGUUCAAUUCUCCUUGGGACUA